UUAUAUAGAAGUAAAUUUACAAUUAAUUUCGACUUAAUAGUUAAGGCUUACUGCCUUCGUAUAAG
rnacentral:tRNA from 1 species